AGUUACUGCAACCAUAAUACAGCCAAUUACCAUCUAACUCAAUCUCGAGCCCUACAACGAUCAUCAUCAGCUGUCUGGUGGCGAUUCAGUGCUCGACCACCGACCCGUCGACAGCUGGCCUGACAGGCGUUUUCCCACUAAGAUGGUGACGAUCCAAGCGGCAGCAUCAGUAGCCCUGCCAAAGAAACCAAUCGCCUCCUCCAACAAAAAUGUGACGCAGAUGUCGUCUUCAUCGGUUGGUAAUCGCGCCAGUUGCGGAAUUUGGCAAGCUUUGCGGGCAAGCUUCGAGCGGUACCAGACGUUUACCAGUUCGGCUUGGCCCUACCGAUAAGGAUUUUGCGUGCCGACUGCUCGAGAAGUGAUUUGCUAUAUUUAAUCAGUCGAAUCGAUGGAAACAAUGAGGAAAGGCAAUAAAGUUCGGUUCUGAUAAAGAAAUUA